UACAGAUCUGGAAUAGGUCAAGGAUCGUAACUCACCAGAAGCCCAAACAUGGUCCGUUUGACCCUGGAUUGAAAGCGCAGCGAUGACCCGGGCCUCAUGAAAGACUGGAGUGGAGCCCAAACACUGCUUGAGCCACUGAAGGGCAGUGGAGUGUUAAACGGCCCCGGCAAGAGUGGCUCCCCCCACACGCGCUCGCUGCCAGCCAAACCAAAUUGCACUUUAACUCCAGGAAAGAUGAAAUGCUGCCUCUCAUGAGGGUUGCUGUCUAUCCGGCAUCUCGCCGACAUUUAUGGAAGAAGAACUCACCGUUGCGCGGCUUCCGCACGACUGACAAGCUCUGAAAAACGCAACGGUGAGUCUGUGUUUGGUUAACCUCACAAAAUGCA
rnacentral:lncRNA from 1 species